AAUAUUUGCACAAUAUUGCAGUAAACACACAGAGCGGUAUAUAGAGGGCAGUGACUGCUUAGCAAGUUAGUAGCACUAGCGACAUCAUGAGGACUCUCGCACUGAUCAUCCUUCUACUGGCGUGUUUGUCGCAGUCGACGGAGGUGCAGCAACUGCGAAUCUUGGAGAAGUGCAGCCUCAGCGGAGAGAAAUACAAACAACUGGAUGAUUAUCUAUCUGACAUCAUAGCACCACUACUAGGAAGAGUUUUUCUUGGACCAUACUACACUCACUUUAUAGUGGAAAAUUGAAAGCUUGUUUAUAGUAAUAACAGUAAACGUAAACCUGUGACAAUAAUAAAGUCUAUGUAUAUUAAUGCACCUGAUCUUUUGAAAAACUAAUAAACAAUUUUAUUUAUAAAGUAGCAUAUUUAUUGCAAUAAAAUUGAAAACAAAAAACAAUACAAACAGAUGUUAGGUUGGGUACAAUAAAAUAUCUGUAGCAAAGUGAAUGCAUUGUGCUAAUAUUUGCACAGCUCCACAAUAUUGCAGUAAACAGUCUGGCUGGUAUAUAGACUGCAGUAACUGCUCAGCAACUCAGUAACACCAGCGACAUCAUGAGAACUCUUUGCCUUAUCAUCCUUGUAGUGGCGUGUGUAUGGCAGUGUGCGCGCGCGCAGGGCAGCAUAGACAAGUGCGGCCUCACACAGGAGAUGUACAAGAAUCUCAAGAGCUAUGUAUUAAGGAACUUUCCACUUUUAAUUGCUACAGACAUAUUGGAUAAAAUAUUUGCUAUUUAAAUCAAAGGUUGAAUGCAAUCUUGUUCGCACUAUGUAUUUCCAUAAUAAUUACCUAUCUGUGCUGUAAUAAAUGUAUGAACUGUAAUAAAGUAUUCAUUUGAGACAAAAA